rnacentral:misc_RNA from 1 species
GUAGGUGAACCUGCGGAAGGAUCAUUAGAAAGAUCGACAAUAUGGACGAUCAAAUCCAUAUCCACCUUGUGUGCACUCAUUGACCGUUUGCUUUGGCAGGAAGGAGCCUUCGAUCCUCUUUGUGAUCCGGAGGCGCCGAGGUGUGUCAUCGACAGCCUCGGGCCUGCCAGAGUUUUUUUUUCCUGAACUCACGCCUAUUCUUCUUCUUUUUGCUUGGACUGAACCUUUGUCCCGAUUCUCUUGUGGGAUC